CUGGAGUCCAUCCCCAGUACCACAAAAGCUGAACUUGGAGCUGCAUGCUUGAAAUUCCAGUACUGCUGAGGUGAAGGCAGGAGGAUCACAAGUUCAGUCACUGUCAGCUUGGCUAUACAGGAAGUUUACCGCCAGCCUGGACUGAAUGUCCUGUCUAAAAAAGCGGGAGAAGGGUCUCUCUGUCUCCCCAGACCUCGGGCUGGAUGUUUACAUGGAAGCUAAGUAGAACUGAGUCGGAAGUCUUUGGGUUUCACCUCCCACACUGGUCAUGACAUCACCCCCAUGGUGUUCAAAAGCAGGUGAAAAGAAUCUUCAACCCUAUUUGAUCCCCACUGUGUCCCAAGAAAGCAGUUUCCCUCAGGGCGGUGGCCACAGGUCAGCUGCAUGGAGGGAACCUCCCAGGACAGCUCCACCUUUUGGAUGCCCCUUCCCUGAAACUGCCACAGGGCUGGGCAGGACGUGGCACGAGGCUGGGUGUGUAGCUGAGCAGGAUGCCCCGUCUAAGGAGUGGCGGGGAGGGGCCCUGCUCCCCUCACCCCAGUCAGCGGUCAGUGUAGUCACCCCUGCUGCUGCUGUCACCGAGCCAGCCUGGGAGGCAGGUGGAGCCAGACCAAGGGUGGAGGAAGCUGAGAGUCAGGCAGAGGCAGUUGGCCUUGGUUGCUGUAGGGAUAAUCACCCUAAUGACACACUUGACAACUGUCACACUUUACAGUUUCUCUGCCUGCCUCCUAAUAAUAACGGCACCCACUGAUGGGUGGUAGCUGCUAUGCAGAGACUGUCCACCAGGAGGCAGGAGUCGCUAGCUCCAUUCUACAGAGGUGGAAACUGAGGCCUAGAGAGGAUAACUUCUUGUUUAAGCUCCAAUGAUAAUUAAGAGGCCGGUGGCAGCACAUGGACCCAGUUGGAGAAACUGAGGCCCUGAGAGUGAAAGUAACUUCUCACGCAGCAGGAAUGGUACUGGGGACCUCUCUUCAGAGCCUCCCAAGUAGAUCCAUGACUGCCAGCAAUCCGGGAAGUACAGCAGAAGUACCCUG